rnacentral:rRNA from 1 species
AUUGAACGCUGGCGGCAGGCCUAACACAUGCAAGUCGAACGAGUGGCGGACGGGUGAGUAAUGUCUGGGAAACUGCCUGAUGGAGGGGGAUAACUACUGGAAACGGUAGCUAAUACCGCAUACCAUCAGAUGUGCCCAGAUGGGAUUAGCUUGUUGGUGGGGUAACGACUCACCAAGGCGACGAUACCUAGCUGGUCUGAGAGGAUGACCACGCACACUGGAACUGAGACAUGGUCCAGACUCCUACGUGAGGCAGCAGUGGGGAAGUUUGCACAAUGUGCGCAAGCCUGAUGCAGCCAUGCCGCGUGUAUGAAGAAGGCCUGCGGGUUGUAAAGUACUUUCAGCGGGGAGGCGUUACCCGCAGAAGAAGCACCGGCUAACUCCGUGCCAGCAGCCGCGGUAAUUC